GACGAACGCUGGCGGCGUGCCUAAUACAUGCAAGUAGAACGCUGAAGAGAGGAGCUUGCUCUUCUUGGAUGAGUUGCGAACGGGUGAGUAACGCGUAGGUAACCUGCCUUGUAGCGGGGGAUAACUAUUGGAAACGAUAGCUAAUACCGCAUAACAAUGGAUGACACAUGUCAUUUAUUUGAAAGGGGCAAUUGCUCCACUACAAGAUGGACCUGCGUUGUAUUAGCUAGUAGGUGAGGUAAUGGCUCACCUAGGCGACGAUACAUAGCCGACCUGAGAGGGUGAUCGGCCACACUGGGACUGAGACACGGCCCAGACUCCUACGGGAGGCAGCAGUAGGGAAUCUUGGCAAUGGGGGCAACCCUGACCGAGCAACGCCGCGUGAGUGAAGAAGGUUUUCGGAUCGUAAAGCUCUGUUGUAAGUCAAGAACGGGUGUGAGAGUGGAAAGUUCACACUGUGACGGUAGCUUACCAGAAAGGGACGGCUAACUACGUG
rnacentral:rRNA from 1 species